rnacentral:sRNA from 1 species
UAUUCUGCCCUACGGGGAAGGAUGAGAAGCUUCGACUCAGGUUCGACUCGAGCGUAGCGAGAGAACGUUGCCGCAGGCAACGGCCCGAAGGGCGAGGCGCUUUAGCGCCGAGUCAUCCUUCCCCCACCACCA